rnacentral:rRNA from 1 species
AGAGUUUGAUCCUGGCUCAGAACGAACGCUGGCGGCGUGGAUAAGACAUGCAAGUCGAACGCUUAUCCCUGCGUAGCAAUACGUGGGGGUAGGAGUGGCGCAAGGGUGCGUAACACGUGGGUAAUUUGCCAUGAAGUCCGGGAUAACCUGCUGAAAGGCGAGCUAAUACCGGAUGUGGAAAUUGGAAGGCAUCUUUUGAUUUCUGAAGUUGGGGACCGCAAGGCCUGACGCUUUAUGAUAAGCCCGCGGCCUAUCAGCUAGUUGGUGAGGUAACGGCUUACCAAGGCUAAGACGGGUAGCUGGUCUGAGAGGACGACCAGCCACACUGGAACUGAGACACGGUCCAGACACCUACGGGUGGCAGCAGUCGAGAAUUUUUCUCAAUGGGCGCAAGCCUGAAGGAGCGACGCCGCGUGGGGGAUGAAGGGUUUCGAUCCGUAAACCCCUGUCAUUUGCGAACAAACCCUGAGGUUUAAGAGAUAUCAGGCUGAUUGUAGCGAAAGAGGAAGGGACGGCUAACUCUGUGCCAGCAGCCGCGGUAAUACAGAGGUCCCAAGCGUUGUUCGGAUUCACUGGGCGUAAAGGGUGCGUAGGUGGCCUGGUAAGUUCGAUGUGAAAUCUCCGGGCUUAACCCGGAAAUGGCAUUGAAUACUAUUGAGCUGGAGGUUUGGAGGGGGGACUGGAAUUCUCGGUGUAGCAGUGAAAUGCGUAGAUAUCGAGAGGAACACCAGUGGCGAAGGCGAGUCCCUGGACAACACCUGACACUGAGGCACGAAAGCUAGGGGAGCAAACAGGAUUAGAUACCCUAGUAGUCC